UGGGGAAUUUUGGACAAUGGGCGCAAGCCUGAUCCAGCCAUGCCGCGUGCGGGAAGAAGGCCUUCGGGUUGUAAACCGCUUUUGUCAGGGAAGAAAUCUUCUGAGUUAAUACCUCGGGAGGAUGACGGUACCUGAAGAAUAAGCACCGGCUAACUACGUGCCAGCAGCCGCGGUAAUACGUAGGGUGCAAGCGUUAAUCGGAAUUACUGGGCGUAAAGCGUGCGCAGGCGGUUUUGUAAGACAGAGGUGAAAUCCCCGGGCUCAACCUGGGAACUGCCUUUGUGACUGCAAGGCUUGAGUGCGGCAGAGGGGGAUGGAAUUCCGCGUGUAGCAGUGAAAUGCGUAGAUAUGCGGAGGAACACCGAUGGCGAAGGCAAUCCCCUGGGCCUGCACUGACGCUCAUGCACGAAAGCGUAGGGAGCAAAACAGGAUUAGAUACCCUGGUAGUCCACGCCCUAAACGAUGUCAACUGGUUGUUGGGAAGGUUCCUUCUCAGUAACGUAGCUAACGCGUGAAGUUGACCGCCUGGGGAGUACGGCCGCAAGGUU
rnacentral:rRNA from 1 species